CCUAAAAAGACAGUAAUUGUCCUAGAUUUAAGGCCUAGUAAUGGGUUAACCCUUUUAGGU
rnacentral:tRNA from 1 species